CUUCCACUUCUGCAGGGAGAGAGAAACGGGAAACUGUCAGUCGGCUGCACGGCUUCACAUUGACGUCCUCACGCCUCCUCUGGUUUGCCGCACGGCCGGCACACAUCAGCGACGUGUAUCGGCACAUGGGGUUCGUGUUAGUAAAAUAAGAAAACUGAAGGGAGCUGGGAUUGAUAAAAAAAGAAUAACACAUUACACGAUGACGACGUAAAGAAAUGAGUCAUACAAACACAUGACAUAUGUAAGUCAUUAAUUUUCACCCUUAAGCAAAGCUCCAUGCGAUGUCCUCCAUAUACUCAUGUGAGUGUAUUAAUUGUGUUUGGUUGUGAGUUUGCAGGAUAACGCAAAACCUACCACACAGAUUUUCAUGAAACUUGGUGGAAGGAUGCAGGACGGAUGAGGAAAGAACCCAGAACAGUUUGGUGCAGAUCCACAUCAGGGUUUGAAGUGUGCGACCCAGACUCUGCGCCUCCUGAGAGUCCUGACCUGUGACUGUGGCCGGCUGCCUCCGAGGCCCCUGCACUCUGCCAGGCCCAGGACGUCGCUCCCACGGGUCUCCAGACACAAACCGCCU